CGUGUUUCCAACACAGCUGUAAGCUAGCAUUCAAUUAAUUGUCUCAGAGGGACAAUGAUAAGUCACCAGGAUAUCACGAAGAGUUUAAGAUGUUGAACUGAUCCCCACCCACACAGCCCCAGGCAGCGAUACAUGUUCCCAAGAAAUGUUCAGUGGUGCAACAGUCCUGACGUAUGGAUCCCAAGGAUUGUCACCAAAGUGAUGUUUACGAUGUUUGACAUCGACCCAUCCGUAAUACCGGGUUCACCAAAGUGUUAUUCAUCUCCAACAUGCGUCGGUGAAUCAACGACACGCCUCAAUGAAUAUAGCAUAUAGCUUAUAUAGAACUGUUGUCAUUGUCAACAAGCGUCAGUGAGUCAACAACAAAUCGGGAUUUCCCACCACAAAUCCACCUAGUAUGUUCCGAUAAAUAGUUUUGUAUUGAAGACUUAAUAGUCUCUGAAAGUAAAUAAUAUAAUAUGAAUAAUUUCUUUUCAAACAAAUAGACGUGUUUCUUUACUGCGCAUGUAGCUUGUAUAGAACUGUUGUCAUUGUCAACAAGCGUUAGUGAGUCAACAACAAAUCGGGAUUUCCCACCACAAAUCCACCUAGUAUGAUAAGUUGCCAUAAAUAGUUUUGUAUUGAAGACUUAAUAAUCUCUGAAAGUAUAUAAUAUAAUAUGAAUAAUUUCUUUUCAAACAAAUAGACGUGUUUCUUUACUGCGCAUGUAGCUUGUAUAGAACUGUUGUCAUUGUCAACAAGCGUCAGUGAGUCAACAACAAAUCGGGAUUUCCCACCACAAAUCCACCUAGUAUGAUAAGUUGCCAUAAAUAGUUUUGUAUUGAAGACUUAAUAAUCUCUGAAAGUAUAUAAUAUAAUAUGAAUAAUUUCUUUUCAAAUAAAUAGACGUGUUUCUUUACUGCGCAUAUAGCUUUUAUAGAACUGUUGUCAUUGUCAACAAGCGUCAGUGAGUCAACAACAAAUCGGGAUUUCCCCCCACAAAUCCACCUAGUAUGAUAAGUUGCUAUCCAUAGUUUUGUAUUGAAGACUAAAUAAUCUCUGAAAUUAAAUAAAAUAAUAUGAAUAAUUUCUUUUUCAAAGAAA